GAUGAACGCUGGCGGCGUGCUUAACACAUGCAAGUCGAACGGAAAGGCCAGUGCUUGCACUGGUACUCGAGUGGCGAACGGGUGAGUAACACGUGGGUGAUCUGCCCUGCACUUCGGGAUAAGCCUGGGAAACUGGGUCUAAUACCGGAUAGGACAAUGGUUUGGAUGCCGUUGUGGAAAGUUUUUUCGGUGUGGGAUGAGCUCGCGGCCUAUCAGCUUGUUGGUGGGGUAAUGGCCUACCAAGGCGUCGACGGGUAGCCGGCCUGAGAGGGUGUACGGCCACAUUUGGACUUGAAUGAGGCCCAGACUCCCACGGGGGGCAGGAGGGGGGGAUGUUAGACCAAGGGCGCAAGCCCUAUGGAGCGGAGGCGCGGGGGGGAUGGCGGCCUUCGGGGUGGAAACUCCUUUCGCUUGGGAACGAGCGGGUUUUUGACCGUAACUGGAGGAGAAGCACCGGCUAAACACGUU
rnacentral:rRNA from 1 species